rnacentral:rRNA from 1 species
AUUGAACGCUGGCGGCAGGCCUAACACAUGCAAGUCGAACGAGUGGCGGACGGGUGAGUAAUGUCUGGGAAACUGCCUGAUGGAGGGGGAUAACUACUGGAAACGGUAGCUAAUACCGCAUACCAUCGGAUGUGCCCAGAUGGGCUUAGCGAGUAGGUGGGGUAAAGGUUCACCUAGGAGACGAUCCCUAGCUGGUCUGAGAUGAUGACCAGCAACGCUGGAACGGAUGUAAGGUCCAGACUCUUACGGGAGGCAGCAGUUGGGAAUAUUGCACAAGGGGCGCAAGCCUGAUGCAGCCAUGCCGCGAGUAUGAAGAAGGCCUUCGGGUUGUAAAGUACUUUAAGCGGGUAGGCGUUACCCGCAGAAGAAGCACCGGCUAACUCCGUGCCAGCAGCCGCGGUAAUAC